rnacentral:tRNA from 1 species
GGCUUUUUAGUUUAAAUAAAACGUUGAAUUGCAAAUUCAAAGAUAGAUUACUAGAGGCUU